UGUCUGUUCACCCUGUGCGUGCCCA
rnacentral:misc_RNA from 1 species